rnacentral:rRNA from 1 species
GGAAGGAUCAUUGUAGAGUUCCUUCUCGAACAACUGUGAAAUUGUACUCAUACCCGUCGAGAACUACGUAUUUGUGCGGUUAGCACUUGCGUUGUUUGGAUGGGUUUCAUUUGCUGCCUUCAUGUUUGCUUCAAUUGAAGUAAGAUGUAGAGUAGAACUAAGAAACCGGCACGGUUUGUGCCAAGGACAGUUGUUGUUGGAGAGCUUGCCAUCAUUUUGAUGUGCUUCGUGUUAUUCCAGUGAGCGUCUGAAUGACUCCUGGCAAUGGAUAUCUUGGCUCUCGUGUCGAUGAAGAACGUAGCGAAAUGCGACACUUGGUGUGAAUUGCAGAAUCCCGUGAACCAUCGAGUCUUUGAAUGCAAGUUGCGCUCGAGGCCAUUAGGUUGAGAGCACGUCUGUUUGGGCGUCAUGCCUUGCGUCAUUCUAACCAUCCACCUACUGUAAACAUACUGUGAGUGAUGGCGGAUGUGGAGAUUGACCCUCCGUGCCUUAAUUGUGCGGUUGGUUUAAGUGAAUGUUGUCGUUAGGUCUACGCGCGGCGAAUGGUGUAUCGAGUUAACACACGAUGUCUCUAACCGCGUCCAGGAGUCCUACGAACGAUGUAACAAUAACUGAAACCAUUUUCGACGUUUGCCUUAGUUGCAAGCUCGGAACAUGACCUCAGAUCAGGUGGGGCA